UAAUACGGAGGGUGCAAGCGUUAUCCGGAUUCACUGGGUUUAAAGGGAGCGCAGGCGGACUGGUAAGUCAGUGGUGAAAGCCCUGGGCUCAACCCGGGAACUGCCAUUGAUACUAUCAGUCUUGAAUAUCGUUGAGGUUUGCGGAAUGGGUCAUGUAGCGGUGAAAUGCAUAGAUAUGACCCGGAACACCUAUUGCGAAGGCAGCAGGCUAAGCGAAGAUUGACGCUGAGGCUCGAAAGCGUGGGGAUCAAACAGGAUUAGAUACCCUGGUAGUCCACGCCCUAAACUAUGAUUACCCGACGUGCGCGAUAUACAGUGCGCGUCUGAGCGAAAGCAUUAAGUAAUCCACCUGGGAAGUACGACCGCAAGGUUG
rnacentral:rRNA from 1 species